AAGUGCAAGAUGGAGAAGCAGGGCACGUGCAUUGCUAACAAAGCACGAUUUCUUUACAUCUUACCUCGCAAGGUUAGUUUUAGCUGCGCUAGCUUAGUUGGUUCUUCAUGUGCCCCCUUUCUCCAUCAUGCCACU
rnacentral:pre_miRNA from 1 species